rnacentral:misc_RNA from 1 species
GCUGGCCUCACGAGGCAUGUGCACGCCCUGCUCAUCCACUCUACACCUGUGCACUUACUGUAGGUUUGGCGUGGGCUUUCGGGGCCUUCACGGGCUUUGAGAGCAUUCUGCCUGCCUAUGUAUCACUAUAAACACUACGAAGUAACAGAAUGUAAUCGCGUCUAACGCAUCUUAAU